rnacentral:rRNA from 1 species
UGGGGAAUAUUGCACAAUGGGCGCAAGCCUGAUGCAGCCAUGCCGCGUGUGUGAAGAAGGCCUUCGGGUUGUAAAGCACUUUCAGCGGGGAGGAAGGCGAUAAGGUUAAUAACCUUGUCGAUUGACGUUACCCGCAGAAGAAGCACCGGCUAACUCCGUGCCAGCAGCCGCGGUAAUACGGAGGGUGCAAGCGUUAAUCGGAAUUACUGGGCGUAAAGCGCACGCAGGCGGUCUGUCAAGUCGGAUGUGAAAACCCCGGGCUUAACCUGGGAACUGCAUUCGAAACUGGCAGGCUAGAGUCUUGUAGAGGGGGGUAGAAUUCCAGGUGUAGCGGUGAAAUGCGUAGAGAUCUGGAGGAAUACCGGUGGCGAAGGCGGCCCCCUGGACAAAGACUGACGCUCAGGUGCGAAAGCGUGGGGAGCAAACAGG